UUAAAAAAAAAAUACAACGNGAAGAACCUUACNUACUCUUGACAUCUACAGAANCCAGCGGAGACGCAGGUGUGCCUUCGGGAACUGUAAGACAGGUGCUGCAUGGCUGUNNAAAACUAGUGUUGUGAAAUGUUGGGUUAAGUCCCGCAACGAGCGCAACCCUUAUCCUUGUUUGCCAGCACUUCGGGUGGGAACUCCAGGGAGACUGCCGGUGAUAAACCGGAGGAAGGUGGGGACGACGUCAAGUCAUCAUGGCCCUUACGAGUAGGGCUACACACGUGCUACAAUGGCGCAUACAGAGGGCGGCCAACUUGCGAAAGUGAGCGAAUCCCAAAAAGUGCGUCGUAGUCCGGAUUGGAGUCUGCAACUCGACUCCAUGAAGUCGGAAUCGCUAGUAAUCGUGGAUCAGAAUGCCACGGUGAAUACGUUCCCGGGCCUUGUACACACCGCCCGUCACACCAUGGGAGUGGGCUGCAAAAGAAGUGGGUAGUUUAACCUUCGGGAGGACGCUCACCACUUUGUGGUUCAUGACUGGGGUGAAGUCGUAACAAGGUAACCG
rnacentral:rRNA from 1 species